rfam:Myotis davidii contig161717, whole genome shotgun sequence.
GGUGGUUCUCAGGUGAUGCAUCCCAGAAUCAGGCUUCCUCCUCUCUGGUUCCGGGUGCAUCACCCGAGAACCGCA